rnacentral:tRNA from 1 species
UCCACUACUCGUUUGGUAGAGUAUAAAGCUCUUAACCUUAUGGACGUGGGUUCAAGCCCCAUGGUGGAG